rnacentral:rRNA from 1 species
GAUGAACGCUAGCGGCAGGCCUAAUACAUGCAAGUCGGACGGGAUCCAUUGAUAGCUUGCUAUCAAUGGUGAGAGUGGCGCACGGGUGCGUAACGCGUGAGCAACCUGCCUCCAUCAGGGGGAUAGCCUCUCGAAAGAGAGAUUAACACCGCAUAAUAUCAACAGUUCGCCUGUUCAGUUGAUUAAAUAUUUAUAGGAUGGAGAUGGGCUCGCGUGACAUUAGCUAGUUGGUAGGGUAACGGCUUACCAAGGCGACGAUGUCUAGGGGCUCUGAGAGGAGAAUCCCCCACACUGGUACUGAGACACGGACCAGACUCCGACGGGAGGCAGCAGUAAGGAAUAUUGGUCAAUGGGCGGAAGCCUGAACCAGCCAUGCCGCGUGCAGGAUGACUGCCCUAUGGGUUGUAAACUGCUUUUGUCCAGGAAUAAACCUAAAUACGAGUAUUUAGCUGAAUGUACUGGAAGAAUAAGGAUCGGCUAACUCCGUG